rnacentral:lncRNA from 1 species
GCAAAUUAAAUUAUAUUCAGUAAUAUGCAUGCAUGCAUGAUACCUGCAGCAAGGUUGCCAGCUUCUCUUAGUUUAUCCAGCCUGCAGAUCAGAUUAUCAUGAAGAAAAUAUAUACCAUCUAUAUAUUUCAGGAGGAAGGAUGGGUAGUAUGCAGGGUGUUCAAAAAGCGACUACCAACAACAAGAAGAGAAUCUGACCAUGAUGCACCAUGCUGGUAUGUCGAUGAAGAUGGAACCUUCAUGCAUGACCUUAACUCCCCCAUGGGUGGACUGCCACCACACCACAGCAUCGCACAGCUGCACGAACAACACCUCCAGAUGCUCAACAACAGCUACAAGAGGCGGGAACUCAAGCUGCAAUUCCAGAUGCCAAGCCAUCAUAUCCUCAAUGCCGCCGCCGCCAUUCCUCACGAGCUAGAGCCCCCAUCCUUCCAUUCUCUUUUGGUCUCACCAGACCAUCAUCAAGCUGCUAAAGCGCACCACCGUGCUGUUCAGCUCAUGGACGAGCAUGCAGCCGACCAGGUCACUGAUUGGAGAGUUCUGGACAAGUUUGUUGCAUCUCAGCUUAGUCACGACGAUGCGGCCAAGGGUGUCGAUUAUACUGAUGAAGGAGAUAUCCUUCAGAUCAAUGAGAAGCAAGCUACCGAGUAUGCAUCAACCUCAACAUCCAGCAGCCAAGUUGAUCCAUGGAAGUGACGGUGAUCAUGAAAUUAAUCAAAAAUACUGCCUCCUCGUAUAAAAUAUUAUAUUAAGAGCUACAAUAACGAUGAUCGGAUCAAUUGGGACAUAUAAGUAAUUUGAUCUCUACAUAGUACGUGGCGUGUAAAUGAGACUACAUACAUAUUGAGUUGUGUAUUGGUGUACUACUUAUUAUUAUAUCCCUUCAGGAUGUUGUACUAAUAAUAUACUUAGCAUAUGCAUGCACACCGCGUUUCUAUAUGAAUAAUAAAGUCAUGGACAACUUGGAAACUUCAUGAAUCAUGGUUUGUAAUAGGUUUUCAGUUAUUAUAUAUGUGAUAGUGAGCUGUGGGUCUAUCUGCAAAUGAACUAGAUAGCCAUAUUUUGAUAUUUCACUAUAUAUAUGGGACCUUCAGCAGCACAUUACAUAUUUUCUCUAAGUGGAUACUAUCAGGACAAGUUACAGAUAAUAUGGAAUUUCUAAACCGAUAUGCUCAAACAUGCAUUUAGAUCACUUAUGCAGGAGGAUGCCAUAACCAUAACCAAUAAAUCAUAUUUUAGUUUAAUUUGCUAAGCAAAACCGUAUGCAGAACACGGAUUUAUAUAUCUCAACUUUUUUGGAAGAAUCAAAGUUAUAUGAGUUGUCACAACUCAGCUAUAUGUGAAUAUGUCACAACUCGCCUAUAUUAUAUACCGGCCGUUUUUUUUCUAUAAAUGCAUAAAAAACAUUUUCUAAAUACACAUAACCAAAUACAUAAGAUGUUCAUAUCCAUAUACCACUAUAUAUCUCGGUCCUCCUCGGACCUGUACAGUGUGUUUUCUAAACUAUCUCCUUUUAUUGAUUAGGCAAAGCUCCUGCCAUUUCUUUCAAAAAAAUAUAUCACUAUAUAUUUCUAACACUUUAAAACAUUUUCUAAAUAAAAUUUGGAGAAAAAAACUGCAAAUAGAAAUAUCAGCAACUCUACAUAGAAAAAGAUGUGGGGGGUAUAUAAGGGACAUAUGUGUACGUUUGUCUGUUGGACUUCAUGCAUAAAAUCUUUGUAGAUCGAGCCAGAAUUGAAAUGACUAAUACUAUAUAUGUGAUCAGAAAGAUGAGCCAUCGUUCUCUGUAUGCAGGGAUCAGCUAGCUCAUUAAGUAGUAAUCUUCUUUCCUUCUACGUUACUCUCGGAAAAAGAAACAAAAAGAAAAUAGCUGUAGAGUACAUGCCUAAUUCUUCAUUUCUAGAAACAAGGGCAAAGCAUUGGUACAUUUUUGUUUUGUUUCCUUAGAUGAGCAACUGUGCAAACAGCUAAUUUGCUCAAAUAAAAUGCAGAAUUCAGGGAUUCAAGCAGGUCAGCUAUGGGUUACUGUUUCUGAGUGCAUAGGCUAUACACGUACGUAUUACUGGGAGCAUAAAAAUCCAUCCAUUAUCUACAAUCUUAAUGGGCUGGGCAAUGAAUUUCAGGCCAGGAUAUUAGUGGCACCGUUAUUUUGACUUAUUAGAUAGCACAGUACUUAUUGUAUCACAAGUAAUACCAAUAAUGGUCACAUCAAUAAGAAAUCCUAGCACAAAUCAAACUCAAUCACCUGGUGUGCCCUCGCCCAGUGUAAAUGAGCAAUGCAAAUUAGGACGUACGAGAGCCUAAUUGAUAAGAGGCAGAACUCGACAGCAGGAAUAUCAUAGUAAGCAACUAAUAACAGGUAUUUCUAGAGUGGGAUGUACGCAUUACAUUUGUACUAGAAAUUAAGAUAUAAGAUUAGCUCACAUGUGAUUCCAAGUAAACAAGAAAACGAAACAGUAUGGAGAAUAUCAAAUAAUAAAGGGUACUGCGCAUCGAAAACUUGUUCAGAUCGAUCAUCAUGAACAUAACAGGCCAAAGAAAGAAAACCAACUAAAGCUCGGCUUGAUCAUGCAUAUACAGAGUUAUUAGCACAUUCAAUGUGUGCAUCGCUACAAGUAUGCACUCCACUAGCCUAUUUGCUCUUAGCUUUCGAUCAUUAACUUAUGUAAUGAAAUAUUUAGGAAAAGUAAUCUGUCUAACUGUUUAAGAAAAAAAAGGAGCAGCUAGCUCCUCUCUCACGAGUCUUGAAACGAUAAGAACAAGCUCAGAAGCCAAGGCAUAUCAUUUAUUUUUGAAGUGACAUAUAUAUAUUUGCGUGUGUAGCAUAUAUCGAUUGGCUAUAAUGAGUUUGACCAGCUAACAGUAAAGAAAUUUCUAUCUAGAGAAGAGAUAGAAAGAAAAAUGACAAGUCCACAAAUACUACGGUAACUAAUGACAUGAAGGAAAGGUUGAUAACAGUAACAUAACUCACCUACCACAGAUGGCCCAGGGGUUACAUGAGAGAAUUGGAAGGGCCAGAUAGCGACAUCACCUUGAAGGGCAAUGCUUCCUGAACCGUUGCUUUAAGAGAUCAAAUCAGAUAGCAAGCAUGCAUAUAUGCAUAGGAGCAGCAAAGAAAGACAUGCAUGCAUGCCUCCCACCAACUGAUCGAGCUUCCGGCUUAUAUAGUGCAAGAGCCCCACAUACACCUGAGCGCAAGCCGGCCAUGCAGUGCGUGCAUGCAGUCCACACACCCUUUGAAGCAAUGCAAGCAUC